AACUUUUUAUGUUUUCAAUUCUUGGCAACGGCAACAAACCACAACAUUAUCAAGGAAUGUAAUGCAGACUUUUUAAGUUGUGCGCAAAUGACUGUUUCCCUUCUGGUCAUGGACAUGUCCAAUAAAUAGAUUGUAGAACCACUGUACUGUAUAAACUUCAUUUAUACAUGCAGUUCAUAAAAUUAUUUUUUUCUUAACUGAAUAAUUUACCCUGUUAUGUAUAUAUACAAAUAGAUAAUUUUUGUCUCAAUAUAAUCUAAUCUAUACAACAUAAAUCCACUAUCUUCCCCUUUUAAUGGUCAAUGUACAUACACAAGAAGUGUCUAUCCUUAUGAAUCGCCAGCCAAUUCUCUUUUUGCUAUCCAUGGUAAGGGCCCGCACGUACGACUGGGUAGUUCGGCACUGGGAGUUCCAAUGCCUUUUGUCUAUGCCCCUGCAGCCUUCUUUUGUGUAACCCAUGGGAUUGCACUUGGUCUCGUAGAAGUAUUGCUUCAGUUGGCCUUUUGAUACAGGGACCUUUUCAAGGACUGUGACCGUCCCGCCCGACAUGUCCACUGCAGUCUUUUUGUCCGCCGCCGUAACCCACUCGCUAAUACUGUCACACACGCUCAGCUCCCCUCGGCGGGCAGGGUCAGAGUGGCGCCGGACCCUCAUGGACAUGUUUGCAGCAUCUAGGUAAUUUUUGUAUUCCUCCAGCAGAAAGAGAAGAGGAGGCUCCAAAGGCACUUGACUACUGAGCAUCACCCUGGACGUGUACAAGUCUGCGUCCUUAUUGUUUUCUUCAUUGGGCCGAACUUUCUGGUCCUCAUCCAACAGCUCUUCUAUCACGUGUUCGAAAGUGUCAGCCAACGAUGUCAAGCCUCUUGAACCUGCCUUGGGCCCAUUCACGCUCUCCAGAGUCCCAUGGGUCCGCACACCUGGAGAUACUCUAUUAUAGCAAAGAAGAAAGAUAAUUUCAUUGAGCCAUCCUGUUUUACAGGAAAUUCUGCAAGUGGCAACGUGGGUCAUUCCGUGUGUGUCACUAGAGCUGGCGCAAGCCCAUGGCCAUGGUGAGGCAGUGUUUCCACUGGAACUAAUCUGAUACCUGCACCAGCUCUUGGAACUGUGCAGUGUUCCCACUGCAAACUACGGAUGGGGUAAAAGACUGCUCACCUCCUAUUUCUCAUCUAAUCUCACACACUCUGUUUGAUGAGGCUAUGGAGAAACAGGUCUUCUCAUACACUAAUGGUGGGAGUACAAACAAUUCAAGCCCUGUGCAGGACAAUUAGGCAAUACCUAUCAAAAUUAUACAUGAUUUUUCCUGCUGACCCAGCAAUUCCACUUUUGGGAAUAAUUGACAGAUAUAGGUGCAUAUGUACAAAAUGAUGGAAAGCUUUUUGGUAUGUAUUAGUAAGUGAUAAAACAAGGUGUA
rnacentral:lncRNA from 1 species